CAAUAGCGUAUAUUAAAGUUAGUUGCAGUUAAAAAAGACUCGUAGUUGGAUCUCAGGAGGACUUCAGUUGGUCGGCCUAACUGGUCAGAACCGUCUGUCUCUUCCUUGUUUCUGAAUCCCGCCCGGAGUUCAUUCUUCGGGUGUGGACUUCAGAUCGUUUACCUUGAAAAAAUUAGAGUGUUCAAAGCGGGCGUUUGCUUGAAUAUAUUAGCAUGGAAUAAUGGAAUAGGACCCUGGUCCUAUUUUGUGGUUUUGAGGACUAGAGUAAUGAUUAAUAGGGAUAGUUGGGGGGCAUUCAUAUUUAAUUGUCAGAGGUGAAAUUCUUGGAUUUAUGAAAGAUGAACUUCUGCGAAAGCAUUUGCCAAGGAUGUUUUCAUUAAUCAAGUAACGAAAUUAGGGGAUCGAAGACGAUUAGAUACCAU
rnacentral:rRNA from 1 species